GUCUCGUUUCCGUGAAGAAAUAAUCCGUUGCCGUGGAGACCAGGUGCGACUGGCAGCUCUGGUCCUAGCGUUUACUUAUCCUGAACAUGAGUACGCUGUUUGGGUUUCGUUUGCUGGGCUGCGCGGCCGGAGUGGACGCAGCUGUUCGGGAUGAGGAGGCGGCGGCGCAGAGACGACGCUUCGGAGCUGAAGAGACGCAGCGCCGAUCCCCGGGAUGGCUCAGCCGGAGGGCGAGAUGGGGGGUCGCGGGUGCGGCUUGGGUCCCGCAGGACGCGCUGAGCCUGGGGGAGAUCCCGCGGGUCUGCGACCCGCCCAUCAACGAGGAGCAGGCGUGGACCGUGGGCUACCAGCGCUGCGGCUGCCGGCCGCCGCCAGCCCCGCCGCCGUGAGCGCCGGGCCGCGCAGAUCCUCGUCCUGAGGGACGGCGUGGUCACCCCGGCCCCGGAGAGCCGCCCCCGCCUCAGGGAAGGAGCCGAAGAGUGGAAGACGACAUUGAGCAGCAUCCGACAGGAGAUGACCAUGAUAGUGGACUCGACGGACAAGAGCUAUGUCGAGCAAGGUGCAAACUGUGGCUAGACGUUCUGGUUCAUGGACACGCACAAUCUGAAUGGCAGAGAUGAAACCCACAAGAUGGCCACUGAGACCAGCAGUUUGGUGCAUUCCCACACUUAGAAGAAGCACGAGCCGGCUGACGUGCGCUGACAGACCGGGAAGCUUCACCCCACCAUCUAGGUGGCAGACCGGCGUCAACAUCACACAGAUGAACUGCGUAGGGGGCUGCAGCUUGAAGGAGGGAUAUGAAGUGAGCAUGAGCUUCAGGCCAGGGCUCCUUCUCAGCCCUCCGGGGCCUGAUGCCAGGGACUGUGCUCCCUGCUUAUUCAGCCAGCAGUGGGACCGCAUGAGGGCUGCCAGGAAAGGACCAGAUAUUUCAUCCAUGGAUCCAUUUCCUUCGGGCUGUGAGGCUUAUUACCUGGAAGCUAAAGUAUGUUAA
rnacentral:lncRNA from 1 species